CGUGUAGGCGGCCUGAUGUGUCAGAUGUGAAAGCCCUGGGCUCAACCCAGGAAGUGCAUUUGAAACUGUCAGACUUGAGUAGGGGAGAGGGAAGUGGAAUUCCUGGUGUAGAGGUGAAAUUCGUAGAUAUCAGGAGGAACACCGGUGGCGAAGGCGACUUCCUGGCCCUAUACUGACGCUGAGACGCGAGAGCGUGGGUAGCAAACA
rnacentral:rRNA from 1 species